ACGUGUAAGGGUUUGAUUGUGAUCCCGGAAAAACAAUCGGAGUGGUUCUAGUCGGUGAGCCUGGGAAAACCGACCGAGUUCGUUGUGCGCUCGUAAAACAACAAGUUGGGUUGUGAGCUUGUAAAACAACCGGCUGUAAUCUGUAGGAUUAUAGUGAAAUUUCCAAGAGGUCUUGGGGAGUGGAUGUAGGUGCUGGGGUGCACCGAACCACUAUAUGUUUGUUGUGUUUGUAAUGCCUCUUGUCAUUGUCUAACUAACACACUUGCUUACUUAGAUAGAUUGCUUUCUUAACUGUUAUCCGCGCAUCCUUUAGUUGCAAGCAUAUUCAAUCAAGUCACAUUCUAUACAUCAAACUGUUGCUAAGUUUGACUUUCACUGUGCAUCCAUACAACUUAGCAUAAUUAAUCAAAAACUUUCAGAAGUAGGUUAAAAGUUUUAAAAGACCCAAUUCACCCCCCCUCUUGGGUUGUAUCUACUGGGCAACAA
rnacentral:lncRNA from 1 species